rnacentral:lncRNA from 1 species
AUUCACUGCUCACUCUGUGUAAUUUACGAGACAACCUACUUCGUUGCGACUCCUUGUUUUUUGAUUACUACUUAGGUAACGUCGCUCACAUUCAGCUCCCGUUUUAAACACAUGUAGGGUUUAUCAUUUGAUCACGGGCAUCCACCAGAGACUCACAGUGCGUUUCCUAUCGCUGCACAUAAGUAGGCCAACGCAGGGCUGUGCAAGCUGUUUCCCCCGUGGGAAGAGAUGAGGAGAGGAGAGGUAGUGUGUCAUAUAAAGUCUCCAUUUCUGCUUUUUCCUCCAACUUCACUCUGAGCACCAGAACGGAGGAAGAGACUUGUAGGCCUGGAGGAAAAAUAGCAGUUCAAGCUGUACUUUGUGACGCUCGAUGCACGUCAGGUGGUUGGUGACGUGGACGGGGUUGAGAAGUCCAGCCUGUGUCAGACCUGCACAGUCGAUCACAGAGUGGACAAAGGAGGGGGGAGCACUUUACUGCAGCCACGGAAACGAAGACAAAUAUUUAGCCGUGAGUGUAAACAUCAUGCUAUUACACACUGAUGAUCACAUGUGCACGGUUACCUGGGUCAACCCACCUCUUCUAUGUCUUUAUUGUAUCCCUCAGGGUCCAAUCGUGUGGAGCCAGCAGGGGAAAGUGGGUGUGGCUCUGGGUUUGACCUCACCAGGUGAUUUCUGAAGAAAGAUUUAAAAUUCGCUCAUUCACCUGGUAAACAUUUUAUUUUCCGAUAUGGUAACACUUUAAUUGAAGUUUUAUACAUAAGGCUAACAUUACACUGUCAUUAGCAUGAAUAAGGUGAAAUGAAGGCUGUCAUUUAGUGUUGUUCGCUAAAUUAUGACAACUUUGGAGCUAUGUUGGCAUUGCCUGGGUUAAGUGGAGAUCUAGUGGAGUUAGGUAGGGGUUAAGGUUAGGGUAACAAAGGGUUAGUGUAAAGAAUGACACUUAUUAACAGCCUUUAUGACACCUUAUUCAUGCUAAUGACAGGUGUCAUGAAGGCUGUCAUUAAGUGUUUUUUGCUGAAUUGUGAUUGCUCUGUUGGCAUUUUCUGGGUUAGGUGGAGG